UGGGAGUCUGGUGGGAGAAGGAAAGGAGUUAACGUAGUGUCAGCCCACUGCUUACCUCUCCUGCAGUGCCAGAGAGUCCCUGAGAUAUGUGCAAGAUUCGUGGUGUAAUUCAUCCUGAGCGACCAUCCCAGGCUCCAUGAUAAAUAAAUCCAACAGAAGGGCUCGGGGAGCAGACUCAGAUAUGCACCGUCACUGAAAGAAAGGAAGCAGCAAUUUGGCCCCUUCUCCACAGAUGAAGUAGCCAACUGGCCAGCUACCACUUUCUCUUCCAGUUUCAUGGAAAUGAAGAACCAUCGAGAUUUCAUCAGAGAAGAUACAUGGAGGUAAAAGAGCAUUUUGCAAAUUCAACAAUGUCUUAGAAUCAACUUAUCAACGUAUUAGGAACAAAGCUUGUGUCUCCAAGAAAGUUGCAUGCAAGAAUCUUUCCUCCAGGCUGACAGAGUGUGGGUAUCCUCAGAAAUCGAGGGAACAUGAGGCUACCCUCUGAAACAUCCCAGAAAUCCCAGCCCUGAGAGACCUCGUGCUGCUACAUGUCAGCCAUCUGUGGCUCCGCUGCUCCAAAGUGCUCCCUGAAGACAAGAAGAACUAGUACUGCAUGAGGUAAUACUGCUGCUGAAAAAGCAAAGACCUUGGGAAAGCCAGUAGUGGUUACCAAAAUGGACUGUGAAGGGACACAAUGUCUUUUGGAAAUGCUGGCUAGGAGAUACAACCCAAUAACAUUAAAAAAAAUUGUUUCAGAAGUUUUAUUUACUUCUUAAGUUCAAGGCAUAAAUAAGGGGCAUUGUAACCAAAUAUCCCAACUGGCUCCCUCAGCUCUGUUCAAAUCAGGUUCCAAAUAUUUUACCUCUGAAAAAAAUAAUUCCUUGGCCUACAUCUGUGGUAAUUUUAUGUAGGUUCAUAAAGAUCACUUCAUUAAAGAGCUAACUUCAUACUCAGUACUUGUUGAGUUCAAACACAUAUUC